rnacentral:rRNA from 1 species
ACUCAAGCGUUAUCCGGAUUUAUUGGGCGUAAAGCGUCUGCAGACGGUAAGGCAUGUUCGGGGUUAAAGACCCAGGCUCAACCUGGGGAAAGCGUCGAAAACUACCUUGCUUAGAGGACAUAAGAGGCCAAUAGAACUCAUGGUGUAGGGGUGAAAUCCGUUGAUACCAUGGGGAAUACCAAGGGCGAAGGCAUUUGGCUGGUGUGUUCCUGACGUUCAGAGACGAAAGCGUGGGUCGCGAAUGGGAUUAGAUACCCCAGUAGUCCACGCCCUAAACUAUGGAUGCUAGCUGUGGGGAGUAUCGACCCUCUCCGCGGCGAAGCUAACGCAUUAAGCAUCCCGCCUGGGAAGUACGGCCGCAAGGCUAAAACUUAAAGGAAUAGACGGGGACUUGCACAAGCGGUGGAGCAUGUGGUUCAAUUCGACAAUAACCGAAGAANCUUACCAGGCUUGAAAUUCUGUUGAAAUCUUUCCGAAAGGUUAGACCUCUCACAAGGACAGCAGAACAGGCGCUGCAUGGUUGUCGUCAGCUCGUGUCGUGAGAUGUUCCGUUCAGUCGGGUUAACGAACGCCACCCCUGUCGUGUGUUUAAAUUU